CGGUCAUUAAAAAACUGAAGCGAGGGUGGGUAUGCUGUGUAUGUGGCUGUUCAUUUUUACUCCCUGUUAGAUAAAGCUCAAAUAUCUUUAUAAAUAUGUAACUUGCGUAGGUUAUUUCGAGAAUAACAACUAGAAAUUUUUUUUUAAUUCUUUAAGUUCUCAAACCCAACAUUUGCAAAUUUUAAUUUACAUGUUUUUCUCGUAAGCUUCCGUCAAAUCAAAAGUUGACAUUUUGUAACUAAGGAGCCGCCAUGUUGACUUGCUGAAAUGGGUAAAUAUGCGAAUAAUGCAAUAGAAUAGAAAAUAAAACAAAACCUACCUCAAAAAAUCAGUUUUAAUACAAUAUCAUACGAAUUCCGAUGGUUCAUGUAACAGAAAACUUUCAAGUUUAGCGGUUUCAUUUGUAUGACGUCAUGUUUUGAAAUGACUUAAAUGCGCCAAAAAGAUUAAUAGACUUUCGCGGAAUUUUAUUUAAUUUUUAUUUUGUUGAUUUCUCCGAGCUUUUGUGCAUUACUUCUUUUUAUUAUGCAUACGAAUAAGAAUAAAAGUUAUUUUGUCUUUUUUAAUUGCACUUUUUAAAACAAUAAAAUCAGCAAAGGAUCAGCAAAUAGGUUCCAAUACAUGUAGAUUUACGUGGGAAGUAUAUUGUAACAGCCAUUAUUAUGCAUAUCUCUGAGUCUGCGCUAAGUAUAUUUUAUCGAGAAUUUUAUAACAGUGUUGUUUACAAAGCUAAAGAAGCACGUCAUAUUAGAAUAAUGAUUAAAUUUUAUUCUUAUUUUUGGCUUAAAAAGUAUCAUAUGUUCGGAGAUAUUUCACCAUGAAGAUGAGCAUCUGGAGAGAAAUGACUUGAAUAGCAUUAGACAGUCCAUGUACAGAGAGAGAAAAAAACUUAUUGCUUUGCUGAAUAUUUAAUACAAGAUAUGUCAAAAGAAAGGAAAAUAGAAGCUAUUGCUGAUUAUGUUUUAGCCACAUAUGUUGAUGACACAGUGCUUUGUUCCCAC
rnacentral:lncRNA from 1 species